AACAGUGUACGAAUAAUCGGUAAUUCGACGUCAGCGCAGAGCGCCAUACGUUUAUGUGGGUUCAACUCCCGCCACUGUAG
rnacentral:tRNA from 1 species